GCCUGACACAACCCACACCCCAAAUAACCAAACAGGACCGGCCACAUUGCUUUGAUCAAAUCGUCAGCAAUUUUUUGCAUUGGCAGGGGCUGGGAGAUGAAUGGUUGAAGGCUCUAGUCGCUUGCAGGUUUUGAGGGCGCUAUGCUUUGGAGGAUUAAGCAAGGGGACCCCGGAGUGGGUGAUAGGAUGCCUAGGCGGCAGUAUCUCUCCUUAGUCCCAAUUCCUUGAUCAAUCAUGCUGCCUGUUUUUAAAGCGAUUGAUUUGAAUCCGGAGCCCCAGCGCCAAAACCAUGCUUUAAGAAGAUAGAUUUUAGGACAGUCUGAGGACUGUCACUGGUCCCUUGGGGGUGGGGUAGGAGGUUUGCUGGAGUGUCGGUUGGUGCGGGGUCUGCCUUGCAUUUUAUUCCUGCAGUUACGGAGCUAAAGUAGAGAAAUGGCUUUGCUGUGGAUUGCAUUGUCGUGUCAUUUUCGUGUCCUGAUACCGCAUAAACGAUCACCUGAUCAGCAGAUCGAUUGGAAUGAACAUCACACCGUUGCUCCUCAUAAUCUUUUCUCAGGGAAGAUUCUGGGUCCCCAUCUUUAGAAAUGCUCUGAAUGACCCAGAAGAUGUAUAGAGAUCACAGUCAGGAGGAGAUGGUAACCUGGAAAUCGAUUUAUUUAUUGUAAAAACUGAGUUGCUGAGGGAUAGAAGGGCUAAGAAUUUACCGUGGGUAAAAAUGUUCUUGGAUGGACACCUGCCCCAAUAUUGCAACAGAGUAUAAGUUUUUCUUCCUUGUCUCAUUUUCCUAAAAGAUGGAUGAACUUUGUGUUUAUUAUAGAGGCUGAUAAAUUCUGCUAAGAGGAUCUGAGGCCACAUAAAGAGACUCAACAUCUUGAGAUAUGUUCAUUGCAAAUACAGCUCAACAACUGUGGAGUAUACAGACAAUAUUUUCUUGCCAUGAAGGCCAGAGAAUGUCAUUCAAAAGCACGUAUCUAACUGACUGUUAAAAAGAAUGUGUUGUUUAUGGAGAACUCAUUUUGACUUAAGUCAGACAAAUGAAACAAAGAUUUAUUUUAUAGUCAUUCAUAGUGAUGCGCACUUGUAUUCUGUAAUUUCGGAAGUCUAGAAACAAAGCAGUAGAAGUAUCUAUCAUCUUAAUGCCAGGCUAGGCGGUGUAGCAAGACCUUGGCUCAACACACAAACAAGUGUAUGUGUGUAUGUGUGUGUGUGUGUGUGUGUGUCUGUGUAAAAG